rnacentral:rRNA from 1 species
UACGUAGGGAGCAAGCGUUGUCCGGAAUUAUUGGGCGUAAAGCGCGCGUAGGCGGUCCUGUAAGUCCGUUGUGAAAGUCAAAGGCUCAACCUUUGAAAGCCGAUGGAUACUGCAGGGCUAGAGUCCGGAAGAGGCGAGUGGAAUUCCUGGUGUAGCGGUGGAAUGCGCAGAUAUCAGGAGGAACACCAAUGGCGAAGGCAGCUCUCUGGUACUUGACUGACACUGAGACGCGAAAGCGUGGGUAGCGAACAGG